rnacentral:rRNA from 1 species
AACGAACGCUGGCGGCAUGCCUAACACAUGCAAGUCGAACGAGACCUUCGGGUCUAGUGGCGCACGGGUGCGUAACGCGUGGGAAUCUGCCCUUGGGUUCGGAACAACAGUUGGAAACGACUGCUAAUACCGGAUGAUGACUUCGGUCCAAAGAUUUAUCGCCCAGGGAUGAGCCCGCGUAGGAUUAGCUUGUUGGUGAGGUAAAAGCUCACCAAGGCGACGAUCCUUAGCUGGUCUGAGAGGAUGAUCAGCCACACUGGGACUGAGACACGGCCCAGACUCCUACGGGAGGCAGCAGUGGGGAAUAUUGGACAAUGGGCGAAAGCCUGAUCCAGCAAUGCCGCGUGAGUGAUGAAGGCCUUAGGGUUGUAAAGCUCUUUUACCCGGGAUGAUAAUGACAGUACCGGGAGAAUAAGCCCCGGCUAACUUCGUGCCAGCCGCCGCAGUAA